UCAUUUUUUGAUACUUUAAAAUUAGAGAUAUUCUUGAGAAAUUCAAGGGUUCUCUAAUGAGUAUCAUUGAGAGUAAGAAACUCUUAUUGAUACUGUCUUGUACAAACAUACACUCCUGUUGAUUCAGGUAUUCUCUUAGUUCAGUCCAAGUUAAGAUUUGUAACUGUUUAUCUACAUUAUAUAAAAUUGCUUUGUUUUGUAAGUGCUUUACAAGUUUGUUGCAGCUUAGCCUACCAAAUGAAUCCAAGUGCACCAUUGUAGAUAUUUUUUAAAAGGAUUGAUGAACAACUAAACAAACAAUAUUGUGGAGAUACAUGUGAAUUAUUAUGGAGAUGCCACCAGCUAUUCAAUGCAUUGGAGAGCAGCUCUACUACCAAAGUGGAGAUGUGGAUCACUGGAUGUGGUAUGAGAUAUCUGUUAUUUAUAUUUUCAGUAGUUUAGACAGGUUAGAAUUCUCUAACACUUCCCUAUUCUAACACAGAUAUCAAGCUAGGGCCGGGAUGUUUAUGGUGGUUACUAUUAUGACACAGUUCAUCCCGACCCCUUCGGCAGUGCCUUGUUCUAUCCGGUUGGUUCUGAGUCCAAUGGGUGCUUUCAAGUUAGAGUCAACUGACCUGCAGAUCGCAUUUCCGCGUGCCAACAACUGGACGAACAUGUGCUACUGUUAGAUUGUGGUUUAUGGAUGGCUGUGGAGUAAGAAAAUCACCUUGAAUAGGGUUUGAGUUGUCAGGGUCCCUGUAGGAUAUUUGCAGUUGUCAGUCGACUAUUACAUUUCUGAUCAGUGCCCUUUGUGGUGGUGCCACAGCUUUUUCAUGAUGGUUGCGGGCUCAGUACAGCACUAAUUUGAUGAGCAGGUGGUACUGUUACACUGUGGCCUGGUCUGACUUGUUCUAUGAGACUGGCAAUGCAAAUAUUAGAUUGUAGUGCCUUCAGCAAACUUAGGGAUGGGGGUGUGAGAAUUAUCUGUCUUAAGAAUUAGAAUU